AGAAGAAGAAGAAAAACUUCUGAAGCCACAACUGCAGUCUGAACAGCUUUUAACUCGACGGAAGCCGCUAUUGAAUUUUCUGAACAUAUUUUCGUCCGAUGGUAGGGGAAUCGUGUGGAUGCCCACUAGGGCAACGGAUGUUCAAGGGAUGAUUGCUGAUGAAGAGAUGAGGAAGUUCGGAAUAGACCAUUUCCGCCAGACCUAACAUACCUGUUUUGUAUUUUUUCUCGAAAGAUAAUAAUCUCAAACUAACAUUUCUUUUGGAUUUUUUUCUUUUUAUGCAUUCUUGAUUUUUUUAUGAAUUUUCAAAAAUUGGUCUUUUCACCACUUUUGGAGACAUGCGGAACGAAAAUGGUAACUCUAUGCGUGGUGAAAUUAAUUUUCACCAUGUCAAUAAAAUGUCAAAAACUGCCAACGCUGAUAACCCUAUGCUCAGCUGAUAUUUACGUUUUGAAACGUCAAACAGUUCGGAGUUACAACAGUCGAUUUCGUUGGGGCAUUUUUUCUCUAAGCCAUCGGAAAUUGAUUAAACAGCAUAUCACGUCGGAAGGGAAACGCUAAAAAUGAGUGUUGAAGAUUACAGCUACCGCAUCACCAAGAAGACGGUGGCGUCAAUAGUGACCGCUACGCGGGCAUCG
rnacentral:lncRNA from 1 species